AAUAAAUAAACUGUUAAAAACUUUUGCGAUUUUAUUUGCCAAAAACCUAAUUAUGUCAUGGUCAGAUCUAAGGAUUAAUCAUUUCAUGGUAUGACAAUUAUUUCAUGAAAUUGGCCACAUCAUGAAACAGUUCUAACCUAACCUAACCAUCAUGGUUAAACCAUGUGAAGUUAUUAAUUCUAAAAUGGCAUUUCAUGAAAUGGUCAUAUUCUAUGAUCAGUACCUCUAAUGUAAAUUUAUUCGAUAGCGAAACGUGACGUACGCGUUUGCGUUAAGUCUCAUUUUGUAUGGGAUUUUGAACAGCGCGCCAAGCGGGACGUUUUGGAAACUCAAAAAUCUCAUACAAAAUGACACUUAACGCAAACGCGUACGUCACGUUUCGCUAUUAGGUAUAUUUGUUUGUUUGUUUAUAUACCUAUUAGGUAUAUUUGUAAGGUACCCAAACUAAGCGUCUGAUAAUUUCAUCAAGAAAUAAAUAUAGAAAUCGGAUCUGCACGUUAAAAACCAAAACACGAGGCCCACAUCCAACCCUCUAGGUCAGUGGAGUGUCCGCAAACAUUUUAGCUUCGCAAACAGCGACCUCAAACAUGAGGUGACGCCGCUGUUUGAAAGGUUUUAAAACGAGGAAAGGUUAUUUUGAGGUUAGAAAAACGAAAGGAUACCGAUCUCGGGUUUGAUAGAGAAAACUUUUGAUCAGUCACUAGAGGUACGGCCACUAUAAUUGAACAAAAACGUUCAGGAUUUAUUUGGGGUUACAAAAAGAAAAGGUAUAUUAGGAUAAGGAUUAUAUUAUAUACUAUACAUGUACCUAUCUAUAUA